rfam:Ciona savignyi cont_37871, whole genome shotgun sequence.
GUUUAUCACCAUUCCAGAUUGAAUAUACCCGAUCUCGUCUGAUCUCGGAAGUCAAGCAAUCUCGGGCUUGGUUAGUACUUGGAUGGGUGACCGCUUGGGAAUACCACGUGUGAUAAGCA